rnacentral:rRNA from 1 species
GAUGAACGCUGGCGGCGUGCCUAAUACAUGCAAGUCGAGCGAACGGACGAGAAGCUUGCUUCUCUGAUGUUAGCGGCGGACGGGUGAGUAACACGUGGAUAACCUACCUAUAAGACUGGUAUAACUUCGGGAAACCGGAGCUAAUACCGGAUAAUAUUUUGAACCGCAUGGUUCAAAAGUGAAAGACGGUCUUGCUGUCACUUAUAGAUGGAUCCGCGCUGCAUUAGCUAGUUGGUAAGGUAACGGCUUACCAAGGCAACGAUGCAUAGCCGACCUGAGAGGGUGAUCGGCCACCCUGGAGCUGAGACACGGUCCAGACUCCUACGGGAGGCAGCAGUAGGGAAUCUUCCGCAAUGGGCGAAAGCCUGACGGAGCAACGCCGCGUGAGUGAUGAAGGUCUUCGGAUCGUAAAACUCUGUUAUUAGGGAAGAACAUAUGUGUAAGUAACUGUGCACAUCUUGACGGUACCUAAUCAGAAAGCCACGGCUAACUACGUG